rnacentral:misc_RNA from 1 species
UCGUACAAAAUGUGUGAGGCAUGCGAGGGCUGUUGCUGACUCAAAGUCGUGCACGCCAGAGUGUGUCCUCUCACAUAACCAUCCAUCUCACCCUUUGUGCACCACCGCGUGGGUACCCUUUGGGAUGCUUGCGUUUUCACACAAACCCCUUUUAAAAAAGUGUAGAAUGACCCCACUUUGCGAUGACACGCAAUCAAUA